rnacentral:misc_RNA from 1 species
AAGUCGUAACAAGGUUUCCGUAGGUGAACCUGCGGAAGGAUCAUUAACACGUAUCCACGUAUAUAACAACAUAUCAACAUUUACUACGAACUGUGCUCCCUAUUGACCCAAUCUCUUUAGCUGUCCGGUUUCCGACUAUAGUGGCUCCCCGUUCUGUCAAAGGUUCGGUGUGGGAUGUCUGGUUGGACUAUCCACUCCUUUGAGAGUGAGGCUAAGUAAACGGGACUCAAUAGGCUUACUAACUCUAACUGCCCGUGGAGCUAAUCCAAUCCCAACCAUUUUGGGCGGCAGGAAGGACCCCAUACCUAUUUCACCCUAUUUUACCCUAUUUGGCUAAUACUUUUACACGAUACCAAUAUGGGAUCGUGGAUUAAGAUUUAUCUUAACUAAGCACAACUCUUAGCAAUGGAUAUCUUGGUUCUC